rnacentral:rRNA from 1 species
AACGAACGCUGGCGGCAGGCUUAACACAUGCAAGUCGAGCGCCCCCGCAAGGGGAGCGGCAGACGGGUGAGUAACGCGUGGGAAUCUACCCAGUUCUACGGAAUAACACAGGGGAAACUUGUGCUAAUACCGUAUACGCCCUACGGGGGAAAGAUUUAUCGGAAUUGGAUGAGCCCGCGUUGGAUUAGCUAGUUGGUGGGGUAAUGGCCUACCAAGGCGACGAUCCAUAGCUGGUCUGAGAGGAUGAUCAGCCACGACUGGGACUGAGACACGGCCCAGACUCCUACGGGAGGCAGCAGUGGGGAAUAUUGGACAAUGGGCGAAAGCCUGAUCCAGCCAUGCCGCGUGAGUGAUGAAGGGCCCUAGGGGUUGUAAAGCUCUUUCAGUGGGGAAGAUAAUGACGGUACCGUAUAA